GCCGGGCUCGGUGGCACGUGCCUGUAGUCCCAGCUAUUUGGGAGGCUGAGGUGGGAGGAUCGCUUGAGCCCAGGAGUUCUGGGCUGUAGUGGGCUAUGCCGAUCGGGUGUCCGCACUAACUUCGGCAUCAAUAUGGUGACCUCCUGGGAGCGGGGGACCACCAGGUUGCCUAAGGAGGGGUGAACUGGCCCAGGUUGGAAACAGGGCAGGUCAAAACUCCCAUGCUGAUCCGUAGUGGGAUUGUGCCUGUGAAUAGCCACUGCACUCCAGCCUGGGCAACAUAGCGAGACCCGGUCUCU
rnacentral:SRP_RNA from 1 species